rnacentral:rRNA from 1 species
GACAGAGGGUGCAAACGUUGCUCGGAAUUACUGGGCGUAAAGCGCGUGUAGGCUGACCGGAAAGUCGGGCGUGAAAGCCCUGGGCUCAACCCAGGAACUGUACUCGAAACUCCCGGUCUAGAGUGGUGGAGAGGGAAGUGGAAUUCCUGGUGUAGAGGUGAAAUUCGUAGAUAUCAGGAGGAACACCAGUGGCGAAGGCGGCUUCCUGGACACCAACUGACGCUGAGACGCGAAAGCGUGGGGAGCAAACAGG